AGAAACCAGGCAGGGUACAAACAGUCUGCAACCAGAGAGAUCUAGGAGCAGAGAUGCUGGAAGACCCCAACAUCUUUUCAAGACAAUGGGAGCUCGAGGGAACUAACUCUUCUGAUCAUCAGUCUCACAAAACCUUUGACUCUCCCCAAAGGUCCUGACCUCCCCUCCCUGGUUUCCUGAUGCUCCUUGCAGGCAAAGACAAAGGCUGAGAGGCAGAAGGUUGUGUCUGAAUUUAAGCGACUGCACCAGUUCAUCAAGGAGCAGGAGCGACUUCUGCUGGUCCGGCUGGCAGAGCUGGAGAGGGAGAUUGAGACAAGUCAGGAGGAAACUGUCACCAAACUCUCGGAGGAGAUCUCCCAUCUUGACAGCCUGGUUAAAGAGAUGGAGAGAAAGUGCCAGCAGCCACCAAGGGACCUCCUGCAGGACAUCAGAAGCACAUUGAGCAGGUGCGAGAAGGGGCAGGUCCAGCUGCUGGGGAGGAUUUCCCUUGAGCUGCAAACAAGAAUCAAGAGCUGGUCUGAACUAAACCUAAGAAAGAGGGUUAGCCUGU